UACAGAGGGUGCGAGCGUUAAUCGGAUUUACUGGGCGUAAAGGGCGCGUAGGCGGUUUAGUGAGUGUGGUGUGAAAGCCCCGGGCUUAACCUGGGAAGUGCAUCGCAAACGACUAAACUGGAGUAUAAGAGAGGGUGGCGGAAUUUCCGGUGUAGCGGUGAAAUGCGUAGAGAUCGGAAGGAACGUCAAUGGCGAAGGCAGCCACCUGGCUUAAUACUGACGCUGAGGCGCGAAAGCGUGGGGAUCAAACAGG
rnacentral:rRNA from 3 species